rnacentral:rRNA from 1 species
UACGAAGGGGGCUAGCGUUGUUCGGAAUUACUGGGCGUAAGGCGCACGUAGGCGGAUAUUUAAGUUAGGGGUGAAAUCCCAGGGCUCAACCCUGGAACUGCCUUUAAUACUGGGUAUCUCGAGUCCGAGAGAGGUGAGUGGAAUUCCGAGUGUAGAGGUGAAAUUCGUAGAUAUUCGGAGGAACACCAGUGGCGAAGGCGGCUCACUGGCUCGGUACUGACGCUGAGGUGCGAAAGCGUGGGGAGCAAACAGG